AUUGAACGCUGGCGGAAUGCUUUACACAUGCAAGUCGAGCGGCAGCACGGGGGCAACCCUGGUGGCGAGCGGCGAACGGGUGAGUAAUACAUCGGAACAUGCCCAGUCGUGGGGGAUAACACUUCGAAAGAAGUGCUAAUACCGCAUACGUCCUGAGGGAGAAAGCGGGGGAUCUUCGGACCUCGCGCGAUUGGAGUGGCCGAUGUCAGAUUAGCUAGUUGGUGGGGUAAAGGCCUACCAAGGCAACGAUCUGUAGCUGGUCUGAGAGGAUGAUCAGCCACACUGGGACUGAGACACGGCCCAGACUCCUACGGGAGGCAGCAGUGGGGAAUUUCGGACAAUGGGGGCAACCCUGAUCCAGCCACUCCGCGUGAGUGAAGAAGGCCUUCGGGUUGUAAAGCUCUUUCGGCAGGAACGAAACGGCGAGCUCUAACAUAGCUUGCUAAUGACGGUACCUGAAGAAGAAGCACCGGCUAACUACGUGCCAGCAGCCGCCGUAAUAC
rnacentral:rRNA from 1 species